GCGGGGUGGAGCAGUUCGGUAGCUCGCCGGGCUCAUAACCCGGAGGUCGCAGGUUCAA
rnacentral:tRNA from 1 species